AAUUCCUGUUGUUUAUGACAACUCGAUUGUACCUGUACAGCAUGGAGAGAUUACAACAGAACUCACGAUUACUCAUCUCAAAGAUCCGGUAAUUAAUGAAAAUCAUCAAGUCGAACUCGAGAAGGAAAAUUUAAAUGGUGUUUCUCAAAAAACUGGCGUACAUCAUUCUAUUGAUGAGACUACAUCAACAGCUAUUGAUAAAGAUAAGUCACCGAAGAGACCAUUUAAGGAAAUAUUUACUUUACCGGUGGAUUAUUUACCAAAAAAAAAAAGAAUUAAACUUGAAAAAUCAGGCAAGUCAAAGCUACCAUCUGUGGGAACCUCCGAUGAAUGGUACCAGCAACAAUUGGAAAAGGAAAAAAUGAAAAAAAUGAAAGAAGAAAAACAAAAACAUAAA
rnacentral:lncRNA from 1 species